AAUAGAUCAAUGAAUGACUGUCGAUUUGCUAAUCCACGAAGGGAAAAUAACAAAGGCUCUAGGUUUGGAAAUGCGUCUUACAAUGUGAAUGGAAAUCAGAGACAAUCGUCAAGCCCUUACUGUGGAAUAUUUCCCUGGAUCUGAGCCUCAAACAAACCCAGAUCAUAAGCAGCAAGGCUGGCGACACAGCUUGUGUUUAUCCAUGCCAAAUAUCCACACAAUCAGCCGUGACGAAUCAGCCAGCACAUCCCCUUGAAAAAUAUGAAAUGUGUGGCAAUGGGGCAUUCUGGGAAUGUGGGAGAUAGGAGUCAGAGCAAACACCACUCUCCACAAAAUAAUGGAUGUCCGUUAACCAAUUCUGGAGCUAAUCAUCCAUAGAGGCACCAGAGCCCUCUGAUGUGUUUUCUGACCUAGCCAAGGAUGACACCCCUCCCUGAAAACAAAGUUUCAAAGGUUCUAGCAGCUCUAUCACAGCGCUUGCCAUCUCGAGCAUCAAAACACACAACAUGCUGUAAAGGAGGGCGUGGCUACAGUGUGAUGAAGUCAGCCAAUCACAGCAGGGGGCGUUUACUUCUGUUUCUGCUAGCGGAAACGCCCCUUUAAACUGAGUGAAAAUGAGGAUGGAAAAUCAUAUUUUUUACAAAUAAGUUUUUUUUAAUGCAAAAAAAAAAAUGCAUUUUAUGACCCCUUUAAAUAAAUGAGACCAAAUGGGUGCA
ensembl:lncRNA